GGAGGCUGGAAGGCCAAGAUCAAGGUGCUGGCAGGGCACAUUUCUCCUGAGGCCUGUCUCCUUGGCUUAUAGAGGGCCACCUUUUCCCUGUGUCUCUUCACAUCGUCCUCCCUGUGUGUAUGUCCCUCUCUGUGUCCAGAUGUCCCUUUCCAUAAGAACACCAGUCAUGCUGGAUUAGGUCCCCCCACCCCAAUGACCUCAUCAUCACUUGAUUACCUUAGUAAAGGCCCUGUCUCCAAAGACGGUCACAUUUUUAGGUACUGGGGUUAGGACUUCAACAGGAUAAUUUUUUUUGGAGGGGUGAAACCUUGAUUCAACCCAUGACAGUAGCUAUUCACAUUUUCAUCCUGGGCCUUAGAGGAACUGAUUUCUUCCACCACCCCCAUUUCCCUGUUACCUUAUAUAGAUUGUGCUGAUGGUGGCCAACUUCCUGCGUUGCUCAUGGUUUAUAGGUGUUCAGUCUGAACUGGACUGGAAGAGAAAGAUUGUCCAGGGCUGUAAAGAGAGACUGGAUUUUAAGCUGCUAUGUGAAGAGAUUGAGAGAGGCAACGUGGUGGCAAGAUGCCAGCCAAGAGGUUACUACAAUUGCCUGGAUGAGACGUGUCGAUUGCAGAGACAAGCUGGAGGUGAUGGGAAUGGGGAAAAAGCGCACAGUCAAGAACUCUGCAGGGGAACACCUGUUAG
rnacentral:lncRNA from 10 species